GUUCCCUGUUGGAUCGGCUCGCUACUGCUGCGCCCGACUGCAUGCAAGGCUUCAGUAUUAGUGUGCUCACUGAAAAACUUGACCUUGAAAGUCCAGGCGGACUGCCAAUAUUCUGAACACGGUGAGACGAGAAGAGGGACAAGUCAGAUGACCUGCGCCCUUAUAUCUGUUCCCUUGAGCAGGAAUGAUAACAGUACUCGAAAAGGCUCUUGGGGAACGUAGUUCUUCUUCUCUUCCAGACAGGUACCCGGAACUAAAGCAUUUGCUCCUUAACUCCCAGUACACUGCAUGAUGUUGUGAUGUGGAAUACCGAUAACCAAAAAUCAUAAAACCAUGACAAUGGGGUUUAACUUUUCACUCAGGCAUAUAGCUUCUGGUCCUUUGUUAUAUGGUUUUUUGUUUGUUUUUUUUUUUAAUAAUUUUUAGUAUUUUUGUUUCUAAUGAAAAGAUAAAAUAAUUUUUAUUUGUUUAGAAAGUAUGAAAAAAACAAUUCCUGUAUAUAUUUCAAUGAGCUUGGAGAUCUUGAGUACAGCCAAGAUUGAAAUUGUAUUCCUACGCUUUGCAGUUUUUAAUGAGAAAGAUGAUUCCAAAUCAGAGUUGGGAGCAUUCUCAAGAAAAGCUGAACAUCACUGUGAAAUCCUAAUUCUCUUACCAAUUCUGCUUAGCACUUGAACUCCUGCUAGUGCUCAUGCCAGGUGACUGCUCAACUUAAAGUCCUUCAGAGAUGGGUCUUUUCCAACCUUUUGUCUUGAAGUAAUUUGCUUGUAUUUCCUGGCACCAAAGAUUUGUACUCCAGUCUUCUAUUGCUCGGGAGAAUUCAUGAAACACUGGGCCUAAGGGCAAAGAAACUCUUUAUGCUUUGUACUUACCCAGUUGCUUGAAAGGCAACGGCUUUAAAAAAAUGAGAUGGAAAAAAAAUAUCUAUGCUGUAUCCAAAUAGAAGCAGAGCACUGGUUUCUUACCAGCUGCUCACCUUCACAAUUCCUGUUUGAGCUAACGUUGCUGUGCUUUGAGGCUCAUGCACUGUGCUGAAAAUGCUUGAUUAUAUGCUUUCAUUUGCAUGGCAUGAGCUGGCUCAGGGAUCUCCUGAUACCAUCCUGUGUUGAUAACCUCCAGUGUGAGCAUGGUCUCAGGACACCAGUUCACAACCUCUGGCUUGGUGCAGGGAGGUGGAUUCAGCUGGAAGAGCAGCUUGCUGCCAUCAGGAAGGAGAAUCUCUAUCUCCUACCUCUCUCCUUCCUGUCAUUUAUUUCAUGAUAGCUCCAGCACUCAGUCAGAUGGUGAACUCCUUUUAAUCGGUAGCUGGCAGAAAACUAAGUUGGGAAGAGAAAAAUAAAGAGUAUUUGCUACCAUGUUCAUGAUACAUUAGGUUCAUUCUUCUCAUUUAUCUAACAGAAUAAAGUGAAUUAGAUAAACAAAUAAAUACCAAAUCUGGAACAAGGGAAGGGACAGGAUAUCAUGUCUGGGAAAAGAAGAGAAAAUGAAAAGGGAGUGAGCCUUUCCCUCAGUAUUAAUUUGUUUCCUUUGAGUUGUUGUUUGAUUCAGCCAUUACAUAAAAUGGCACAUCACGUUUUGUGUUUUUUGUUGUUGUUGUUUUUCUGUCUGCAACAUCACUAGGCUGCUAUCCACAGAGGAAGUUCAUAAGGACCUAUGUUUCCAAAAUUCACUUACCUUUUGGACAAAGAUUGAUUCUCAGUAAUUUUUUUUUUUUUUUUUGCAGAGAUUUUGCAGAACUAUUAACAAAUCUAAAGUCCGCAUCCUUCAGUGAACCAUUUGAUAUUUAAAGAGGUUUAAAGAGUUUCUACCAAUCCAGAAUCCAGAAUCAUUUAGUCAACUGUGCCCAAAGUCAGCAAUCCUUAACACAAACUAAUGUGUCAGUUUGCUCCUGGGAGUUGUAUAUCUAAGAACAAAAUUAAUUUGAUUUUUUUUUCCUUUUUCAUUAUUUUUUUCUAAGACCUGCCUUUCUGCUACUUUAGAACUAGUUGCAAGUAAAUAAAUAAAUAAAUGAAAAUUAAAUAGCCUUGCAAAAAAGUAGAAUUAACAUUUGAAAAAAAAAUUGAAAAAAAUUUAAAAGAAAAAAUUGAAAAACAUUUAUUUCAGGCAAGGUCAAAAUAGAAGCACAUGGUUACUUAAAAAUAGCAUUUGUUUAAGACAGCAUUUGUUGUACUAUUCACACGUGUAAUCAAACACCAUUGCUUGAGAUCUGCAAUAGCAGAUUAGUAACAGAAUUUGAUCCUUCAAAACUUGUUUUUUUUAAGUUAUGUUAUUGUCAGUAGUCAGAUAGAUAACCAUAGAUGAAAUAAUGAACAAUGCUGAUAAGUAAUGCAUAGUGAAGUUUUGUUUAAUUUCUUUUGUUGUGUCUCAUGAAUUAAUUUUGUGGAAAAUGUAAUUGAUCUCAAAAAUGCCUACACCAUUUUGUUGUGUUUUUUAAUCAUAGCAAUCUUUCAGUUUAUAUAAGCAUGGAGACAAGUACAUUAGGUUAGGAAGCUUCCUCCCUCCGUAGUUGGCACCACAACUAUAACCUAGCAAAUAGAAAUGAGGCAGCUUAAACAUUUCAAACCAUUUUUCACAGAGUGCCAUUGAAAACAAGCAAGCGAACAAAUAAAUAAAUA